UGGUGAAAAUCUGAGCAACGGUCUAGGAGGAGUUCGAAAAAGUAGGUUUUCAACAUGAAUCAAAAUGGCGGACAGGAAAUUUUGCCAAAAUUGACAAAUGGGGUAUCGGUGUUCUCGGCAUGACCCAAGGAAUCUAUCAACAUCAGUUUUGUUACAAUAGGCUAAUGUAUGCAAAAGUUAUUAGCAUUUUUCGAAAAAUCGUUAUAACUAUUGACCACAAGGUGGCGCUGCCCCCAAUUUUUUUGUGUACAUUCAGGGCAUGGAGCCGGACAUUUUUGUAAUUAUUUGCGAAACGAUACGGAACUUCAUUCUUAAGAUACAGCAAUUUACAACUAAAUUCAAAAUGGCCGACGCCCAAAAUGGCCGAAUUGGGAAAAUUCGGUAUCAUUCGACUCGGAAUGAUGCACUGAAUCUAAAGACACCACUUUUGUGAUUUUUGGCAAAACCGUUCAGAAGUUAUGAGCAAAAACAUGCAUUUUUCAUAUCUCCUGACCACUAGGGGGCACAGCGCCGAAACACUGCAGGUAGUCCCAGGGAAUGGUUGUUAUAAGACCCACCAAGAUUGGUCUCAAUAAGCCAAACCGUUGCGGAGAUAUAGCCUCACGUUCACGUUUGCGUGCUUUUCGAAGAAUUCGUUCAUGAGCUAUUCGGAAACGGUUUGAGAAAUCAACUUGAAUUCCAUAACUUUUUGCCAGCAUGGUCUGAAGAUUAUCUGAUUCAAUUUUCGUGACAAUCGGUGCAACGGCCUAGGACGAGUUCGAAAAAGUAGGUUUUAUGAACAAUUGACGAUAGCGAAAAAACUAAGCCUUGCGAUUUUUGAAUUUCGGUGUCCAUUCGACUCGGCAUGAGCCAAGGAAUCACAGGAAAAAAGAAUUUUCAUUUUGUGGCUUACGGUUCAAGAGUUAUUAGCAUCAAGUUUUUGAAAGUUUAGACAAUUGGUGGCGCUAGAGAGUUUGAGUUAGAGACUUCAAAUUUGCUACGGUUAAUGUUCAGACAGUCCUCUAUUAGUGUGCCAAAUUAUACAACUUUCCCGCAAUCGGUUCUAUGGGCUACCAUAGACUUGGGGUGGAAGAAGAAGAAUAAUAAUAAUAACGCCAACAAACACAAUAGGUGCCUUCGCACCUUCGGUGCUUGGCCCCUAAUAACGCCAACGAUUACAAUAGGUGCCUACGCACCUUCGGUGCUUGGCCCCUAAAUAUAGCUGCAAGCAGCAAUCACGGGGCCAAGCAUUCCAGCGGCAACAUCAGGAGCUAAGCAUAUGUAGCAUCAGACCAAAUGCAACAAUGAAUAAUGAAAUUAAUAAUUGCAUGAUUGUAAUUGAAAUGGCUGAAAAUCGUUAAUAAAAGUUCCACAGCAAGGAGCUAAGCAUGGCAUGGAGCAUCAGACCAAAUGCAACGAGCAAGAAAAGCAAUUAUUGGAAGAGUGUAAUUGAAACAGCCAGUAAAACUCCAGUAAAAUGAUGCAUUAUCAUUUUUGGAAAAUAGUUGGCGCUGUAAUCAAAUUGCUUUGUUGUGUUCUGUGGGAGGUGACAAUGUUGUGGGCAAUUUCUUUCAAAAUACUUACAGACCUUUAGGGCAAUGAGUCGAACAUGCCCACCGAGUUUCGUUCCGAUCGACUUCCAUUAACCUUGUCAAAUAGGUGCUUAAAGUUGUUUGGCCAAUGGCGGCCAUGUUUUUUAAGAUAAGUGAAAUUCCUCAUAGAGCACUUGUGCCACAUUGGGCCAUAUCAAUUUUCAAGUUGAUUGGAUCAACGGUUGCUUAGUUAUAGCCAUUUGAUUUUUUUUCAUCCUGUAGCGCCACCAAGUGGCAGAUAUGGAAAAAUAAUAAUAAUUUGACUAAAGUUUUUAUUCAUGCAUAUGAGUUCUGAGUUUGGUGAAGAUAUCUCAUUUUGUUCCCGAGUUAUAGCCUUUUUCGUAAAAUUGGUCCACGAAUUUGAAUGUUUUGGGUCACCUGGUUUUUUGUUCAGUCUUGAUCAAACCACUGCAAUAAUAUUCUCUGGACUCUCUAGAUCAAUAAUUUUCAAAAAUAUGUUGCAUUUUGUCCUUUGGUUAGCUAUAAGAGGUCAUUUAGGAAAGGGCCGUGGCCACAUGUAACCUAAAGCCUAUAAAACUGAAACAAAAACUCAAAACUUUAUGAAACUUGGUUAUAACAUGUGAAAGAUGACCCACCAAGCAUGCAAAGUUUCAUUAAGAUCAGAAAAUAGCUGGUGCUAUAACAGUUAAAAUGGCCUAAAAAACAAAAGAUUUCUGUUGUGAAUGGCAUUAAACUGCAAAAAAAAAGGGGUAAUAUAAUCACACAUGCAUUAGAUCUGUAUUUUUUCUAAACAAUCAUGCAAAAUUUAACAGAGAUUAGGUAAAAAAGAACACUGUAAUAUUUAUAAAGCUUCAAAACCCAGUGUUGAAUAAAAAAUUGCAAUUAUAACCACUAGAUGUCACCGGAAGACCACUAAUGAGCUCACUAAAGACUAAAACAUUACAGUUUAUGGGCUUGUUGAGGGAUUCAUCUAGAAAAAAUGUAUAUUACUAUUAUUUAAUAUUACUGUUCAAGCAUUUCAGAUCACAUUGAGUCAAAGUUUACCAAUUUAUUCAUACAGAUAUAUCUAAUGUUUAUAAUUAUGCCAGAUUAUGAUUGCAAUGAAACCUGAAAAAUGACAUAGAAGCCCAUAAAAACAGAAGACUUGCAAUAGGU